CCUUAAAUUUUGUGCUGUUUCUCCUGCUAGUCCCGCCCCAGUCCCAGCCUGAGUCCUGACCACCGUGGGUGCAACUUCUGAAUUACCUGGCUCCUCCACAGCUUUUGGGGUUGCCCGCCCAUGUAGAAGCCCACCUCCCACGAGCAAGGUGAAUCUCCUCUCACUUGAAGAUCAGAAAUUGAGAUCUUUCCUGUUCAAUUAAGGAUACGUUUCCAGAACACAGUCCAAAUCAUUGGAUCACACACCUGUUGGACUUUUGGGAUGUAUGUCCUGAGCUCCUUGGUAAGAACCUAGAAUCCUGUGGGAAUGGCACAGGUACCCUCAACCACUGCCUCUUAAACAGAUCCAGUUGCUGUGCUUUGCGGUUCUUGGUCUGCCCUUCAAAGUUUCUUUGCCUCCUCCCUUAUUGCCACCUACUGCUGUCAGGGUGCCCAUCUCCAGCAGCUACUCUAAAAAUUGCUUACAAUCGGAUUACAUUUAGAAACAUAACCCAAGGUAUUAGAACUGUGCAGAAAAUAAGGAUAAAUGGUGUCUGAGUGCUCUCGACACAUGAUAUGUGCUUCUCCAAAGCUUCUCCAGGCUUUUGCUUUUUCACCUGAUUUCUGAUUCUGUGCUUUGUUUUGCAUGAGUGAGGUUGCCAAAUAUCGAAUUCUGGAUGAAUGAGUUAUCACUGUAACAAUAAGGAAAUUGAUAAUAGAAAAAUUGCAGGUUUUAAGAAUUAUUGCCAUUAUUACUAUUUUAGUCAUCACUAUUAGGACAGGAAAAUUGACAGUGAAUUUCUGAGGCCAUUCUGAGAACAAGACCAGCUCUUCACUUCCUAUUAUAAAUCAGGGGAAGCCAUUUCAUGGUAACAGUAGUGCCUUCUCUUUCUAGAGGCUGCUCUCAAGACAGCUUCUAUUGAAGACAGCGCUUUGCUCUUGACCCCUAAUUGCACUUUCCAGACAUGGGGAUACACUGUAGCCAGCAAUGUGAAGAUGGGGUAGUGAGUUAUCCAGCCCUCAGAUUUGUGUCUACCCCAAACCAGGGCACAGACCAUGGCUACCUCUUCCUUCCCUCUCUCCCUCUUACCCCUCCAGGUGUCUCAUGAUUGCUUAGGAAGGAAGAAGGUGAGCCUCAGGUGUCCGCCCAGUCAGGUAGACCUAAGGGCUGAGCAAGACAACUGUCCUCCAAGAAUGGUCUUCCCCACUUCCCUCUCUAGCAGGAUCCUGCUUCUCUCUCAGACCCACCUCUGUGGCCCCUCUUCUGAAGCUCUCUCCAGCUACCCCCCAGAGUUGGGGCUCAGCCUUGUAUGUCACUGCAUCUUGGUAGAACUAAUAAUAGUAAUAGCUGCCAUAUUUGGGCCACUGUGCUAAGUCAUCCAUUAAUGCCAACAGCCCAAAGAAGUAGAUACUGUUAUUUGCAUUUGCAGAUGAUGAAAUGGAAGUAACUUGCCAAGCUUGUACAGAGCUGACUCCAAAUUUUGGGCUCUUAACUCAAAAGGUUUACUGAAUAUCAUAUACUAUGGAGACAAUCUCUCAAGAUGCAGACCAGAGGCCUGGGGCUCCAAUGACUUCUGAGUGAAACUCAUGAGUCAUUUGUGGCUCUUGGAAGUGGAGUCAGCUAGGAAGUCUGUCACCUAUGAUGCCAAGGUCUCUGGGAAGUAGGCCUGCUGGGAAAACAGUCCACAUUGUGUCUCAUGACCAGGAACAGCUUGAGAGACUGCCACACUUGUGAGUAAGAAACCCACGGAGGCAGACCUACUGUAGGCUCUGGAAUGAUCCAGUCCCCUCCUUAUGUAUCUUUUGUAGAGCAGACUCCCUGGGGAGCCCAUUUGUUUUAUCUGCCAAGUCCUUGUCUUAGCCCUUGAAUCAAGGUAGCAAUCAGGGUUGCAUGUCCCUCUGUCCUAAGGGCGGCACACUUGUAUCUUGUAGCUCUGUGUCGUCUUCUCCUUCUGCCUUAGAAGCAACACCAGGAGAUCCUUUCCUCCUGGGGUCCUGAGUCAGGACUAGAUUCCAGGAUUGUGGACCUCUUCCCUGUCCCCAGCCCUGGGUCUCACAGGUGGGGCAAGUUUGAGAUCUCUGUGGUGGGUUUUCAUUCUGUGACUUUACUCACCAGGUCGAGCCCUGCAAGUGGUGACUGUCAGUGAGAUCAUCUGGAAGGCCUGAAGGCUGGACCCAUGGCCUGUCUGCUACCCAUGCACUUAUGCAUGUGCAGGCACACACACACACACACACACACACACACACACACACACACACACGUGCACUCAUGUGUGCCAAACUCCCAUUGAUUCUCUAACUGCCAGUUUGUCCCAAUCAGUGUCUUGGUCCAGGAGUGAGAUGACAAGUAAAAUAAACAUACCUCCUCUUUACAAGUGGCUCCUUUCUCUAAGUUCCUGUUGUCCAAUAGAACUUUCUUUGCUGAUGGAAAUGUUCUAUAUCUGCUCUGUCCGACACCACGAAAGGCUAUUGAGCCACUUAAA